rnacentral:RNase_P_RNA from 1 species
AUAGCAGGCCGUUCUAUCGCUCUCCCCGCGGGGAGGGAGGAAAGUCCGGGCAACACAGGGAACCGCGCUUCUUAACGGGAAGAUAUCCGCAAGGGUGUGGGAAACGUAACAGAAAAGAACCGUUCCUUCGGGAAUAAGGGUGAAAAGGCAGGGUAAGAGCCUACCGGUACUGCGGGUGACCGUGGUAGCCGUACGUCCCGCGGGUUGCAAGACCAUGUACACCGGCGUUUUAAGCUUUCCCGGCUGAGUCGGGGGGUAGGUCGCUGGAGCGGCGGAGUGAUCUGUCGCCAAGAUAAAUGAUAGAAGCCUUCCGAAAGGAGGGUACAGAACCCGGCUUACAGGCCUGCUAUUUUU